rnacentral:lncRNA from 1 species
GCCAAACGGCCCGCCCACCAUGAGCACUCCAUCACUCUCAUGGGUAAAGCUUUCAAAUUUUCUUCAAUUUUCUUCAGAUUUAUGGGUUUCAAUUCAAAUUUUUGACUCCGGAUGUUGCAGGGCGUAGGUGUGUUCUCUGGAUUCACAUGGCUAUGCAAGGGCUUAUCGGUGGUGCUCAUUGGAGGCCACAUUGUAGUUCAGCUUCUCCCUCAUGCUUGUCGGUGGUAUUUUUCUCUCGGUUUGGGCACCUUCACUGUCUAAUUUUUGGUUUGUGACUUGUGAAUUGAAAAUUUACUAAAAUGAAUUGCAAAAUAUUGCAUAAAUUUGUGUUUAUAGUAAUGGGUUUUAUGAAAAAUGUGUGAAAUUUAGUGUUUUGAACCGUUUGGUUUUGUGGGGUUGAUCUGAAAGUUAGCUCCGGUUUUUUGCCUUUCUUGAGUGGAAUUGGGAGUUGUAGCAGAGGUGAUAAUGUUGACCCUUUGUUUGUUAACUAUUUGUAUUACAAGGGAUGAAGUAUAUGGUUGGUAUUGGAUUACAGACUUCGUUUUCGCUUAGGUUCUGUAUUUUGCUGGGAUUUGAGUUUCUCUGUUUUUAAAGUUCUAAUCAGAUCUCGAACAUUCCAAAUUUAUUUGCUGGGAUUUGAGUUUCUUCGGGAAAAGACUCGAACUUAAUGAAUUUCUCUGUGUUUUUUGUUAAUUUUAAUUAGAUCUCCUUGGACUCUCUCCCUACCGCUUCACCCUCCUUGCCUUCAUCCUGUUCGUCUCCUUCCUCUACGGUAAGAACUUUACAGAUUUGUUUUUCAUCAAAGGUUUUCUUUGUUGCAUUUCAGAGGAAAAUUCAACAAACAAAAUAUUAAGAGAAAAAAAAAAGUAAUUGGACCCAUGGACCCGU